rnacentral:rRNA from 1 species
AACGAACGCUGGCGGCAUGCCUAACACAUGCAAGUCGAACGGGAUCCUAGCUUGCUAGGUGAGAGUGGCGGACGGGUGAGUAACACGUGGGAAUCUGCCUUUUGGUUCGGGAUAACCGCGGGAAACUGCGGCUAAUACCGAAUGCCCUCGAGAGAGGAAAGAUUUAUCGCCAGAAGAGGAGCCCGCGUCCGAUUAGGUAGUUGGUGGGGUAAAGGCCUACCAAGCCGACGAUCGGUAGCUGGUCUGAGAGGAUGAUCAGCCACACUGGGACUGAGAUACGGCCCAGACUCCUACGGGAGGCAGCAGUGGGGAAUAUUGGACAAUGGGGGCGAACCCUGAUCCAGCAAUGCCGCGUGAGUGAUGAAGGCCUUAGGGUUGUAAAGCUCUUUUGUGCGGGAAGAUAAUGACGGUACCGCAAGAAUAAGCCCCGGCUAACUUCGUGCCAGCAGCCGCGGUAAU